GGGUUGUGAGGUUAAGCGACUAAGCGUACACGGUGGAUGCCCUGGCAGUCAGAGGCGAUGAAGGACGUGCUAAUCUGCGAAAAGCGCCGGCGAGGUGAUAUGAACCUUUGACCCGGCGAUGUCCGAAUGGGGAAACCCAGUGUGAUUCGUCACACUAUCGUUAACUGAAUACAUAGGUUAACGAGGCGAACCGGGGGAACUGAAACAUCUAAGUACCCCGAGGAAAAGAAAUCAACCGAGAUUCCCCCAGUAGCGGCGAGCGAACGGGGAGCAGCCCAGAGUCUGAAUCAGCUUGUGUGUUAGUGGAAGCGUCUGGAAAGUCGCACGGUACAGGGUGACAGUCCCGUACACGAAAGCACACAGGUUGUGAACUCGAAGAGUAGGGCGGGACACGUGGUAUCCUGUCUGAAUAUGGGGGGACCAUCCUCCAAGGCUAAAUACUCCUGACUGACCGAUAGUGAACCAGUACCGUGAGGGAAAGGCGAAAAGAACCCCGGCGAGGGGAGUGAAAAAGAACCUGAAACCGUGUACGUACAAGCAGUGGGAGCACCUUCGUGGUGUGACUGCGUACCUUUUGUAUAAUGGGUCAGCGACUUAUAUUCUGUAGCAAGGUUAACCGUAUAGGGGAGCCGAAGGGAAACCGAGUCUUAACUGGGCGUUAAGUUGCAGGGUAUAGACCCGAAACACGGUGAUCUAGCCAUGGGCAGGUUGAAGGUUGGGUAACACUAACUGGAGGACCGAACCGACUAAU
rnacentral:rRNA from 1 species